rnacentral:rRNA from 1 species
AUGCCGUUUAGGUGUAUUCGGGAUGACCACCAGUCAUCGCCGGUGCCGAAGGGAAACCGGUGUAGCGUGCCGCCUGGGAAGUACGGUCGCAAGGCUGAAACUUAAAGGAAUUGGCGGGGGAGCACCACAACGGGGUGGAGCCUGCGGUUUAAUUGGACUCAACGCCGGACAUCUCACCGGGAAAGACAGCUGAAUGAUAGCCGGGCUGAAGACUCUGCUUGACUAGCUGAGAGGAGGUGC